CAGUCGCCGCGGGAAUACGAAGGGGGCUAGCGUUGUUCGGAUUAACUGGGCGUAAAGGGCGCGUAGGCGGAUUUUUAAGUCAGAGGUGAAAUCCCAAGGCUCAACCUUGGAACUGCCUUUGAUACUGGAAGUCUUGAGUCCGGGAGAGGUGAGUGGAACUGCGAGUGUAGAGGUGAAAUUCGUAGAUAUUCGCAAGAACACCAGUGGCGAAGGCGGCUCACUGGCCCGGUACUGACGCUCAGGUACGAAAGCGUGGGGAGCAAGCAGGAUUAGAUACCCGUGUAGUCCCUGUCUCUUAUAC
rnacentral:rRNA from 1 species